rnacentral:pre_miRNA from 14 species
UUUUUGAGACAGGGUCUCUCACUGUAGCCUUGAAAGACCCCCGGUGUGGGGAGACCCUCACUCAAGUCUCGGGAUGAUGGAAACCCCCAAGAACUCACACAAGACU